UUCCUGGCAGAUUAAAACUGUGUGCCGGACCGAGACUCGAACUCGGGGUCCCGAGUACGAGUCUCGGUCCGGCACACAGUUUUAAUCUGCCAGGAAGUUUCAACUUCAUAUUUUUUUUCUUUUUCUUUUUUUUUUUUGAUAACAGUGUUGCCUCUUAUAUACAAAGUCUUUAAAAAAAUUCCGGAACU